UUACAGGUACAUUAUUUACACAGUUGUAGCAACACAUGGGGACAUGUAAUGCUUUUUUGUUUUGUUUUUUUUAGAACCCUGCUACUUUAAAUCCUGUCUUAAAAUAUAAUUUUUGUUUUGUUUGCCAGUACGUUUUGCACAGUAUAUUGUCUGGAGGGAGGGAGGGAUGGAGCCCUCUUUAGGAAUGAACAGUGUAAUGGAAGGUGCUGUUUGUAAAUUGCUUGUAAAUAAUAAAAAGUUGGUCAUUUGAUCUGAGAUUCUCAUAAACACUACACUUAUUGAUAUAUAUCUAGAAAGAUUAGUCUCUGUAUGGAUGCCCAGACAGUUGCUUGCUAAGGCCUCAAUACAGAUGCCACACUGGGGCACCAAGAUCUACAUUUGUCAGAAUUUGAAACUACUGAUUGCACGUUUACCAUGUACCUUGAUCAAGACUGAAUUAUUAAACUGUGAAAGGCAGAUGAUUCUUAAUUU